UCCGGUUCCCAGUCUUGAGUACAGCCUCUAGCAGCUUCUUGAAUAGACGGCUGUUCCGAAGCUCAUGGCAGGCCACCUGUUUUCGACCAAGAAAAGGUACACUUCAAUAAAACAGUCAGCAUUUUUUUCCAUUGUUAUCGACAAAAAAAGAGUACAAUUCAAUAAAACUGUCAGCAUUUCCCCCCCCCCCCAACCCAUUUUUAUAACUAGUAGUACUACUGCUCCUGAAGCCACAAUACCUCCAGGGUUUUAAAUGAUUGUUCUGCAUUUGCAGCUUCUUCCGGCAAACUGGACAUGAAAAGCAACACAUCCAGGCGCUGAUAGAGGUAAGGUAUGUCAAUGAUGGUCCUCAAGAAUUGCUCUGCAGGACCAAGUUGAGUGAGCUCCCCGGUGUAUAGCCGAAGCCUUAGCUCCUCGUCGCUGCUUGGAGUCCACCUUAUCAAGGUUUGUAUCAGAUCAAUAGGGAGUUCAUGCCCUGGAUCAAUUUAUAUUUACCCAUUAAUAUAAGGUACAUAGUUUCUGCUGCAUAUAUAACACAGAAGAGACCCAAAAGAUGGUCAGCUUUACCUUCCAUAACUGCAUUACGUACUUCGUCAGCUGAAACACUCAGUGCCUUCAGUGAUAUCGCUAAGUUCUGUGCCUUUUUAGCAUCGAGUAUCCUAACAAAUUGAGGGGUAUCCUUUGCUGCUAAAUCCUUUUUGCCGUCAGCAUUUUUCUUGUCAGUAGCAUGACAACCAAAAAGGCUCUCGAUCAUCUCCUCAUUAAACCUAUCAAUCAAUUAGUAACCAGAAGAGUUAGCAUCACUGGUUCACCUGACGUUACCAAUCUUUGGUUGGUAGCAAGCAACCAGUAAAGAGAUGUGCACAGUACAAAUACGACAACAAUAAUCAUGCAAUAGCUAGCUACGUUCAGGGAGAUUGGCAAGCUUGUUACUGGAAGGAUAAAACUACUAUUUCCAAAAAAAAAACAAGAAAAAGAAACUUACUGGAAGGAUCCUGCUUUAAUUUGAUCCCACACCAUUGCUUGAUCCGGAUUUGCAGUAACUUUAUCCCAGAAGAAUGGCUUCAGCUUUGUUUUAUUGUCUGCCACAGGAGGACCUGCAACAUUCCCUGCUUUCUUCAACGGUGGCGGACCACGCGCUUUUGGACCACCAGGCAUUGCUGGUGGUGGAGGUCCAGCUCCA
rnacentral:lncRNA from 1 species